rnacentral:rRNA from 1 species
AUUCCAGCUCCAAUAGCGUAUAUUUAAGUUGUUGCAGUUAAAAAGCUCGUAGUUGGACUUUGGGACGGGUCGGUCGGUCCGCCUCGCGGUGUGCACCGGUCGUCCCAUCCCUUCUGUCGGCGAUGCGUGCCUGGCCUUAACUGGCCGGGUCAUGCCUCCGGCGCUGUUACUUUGAAGAAAUUAGAGUGCUCAAAGCAAGCCCACGCUCUGGAUACAUUAGCAUGGGAUAACAUCACAGGAUUUCGGUCCUAUUGUGUUGGCCUUCGGGAUCGGAGUAAUGAUUAAGAGGGACAGUCGGGGGCAUUCGUAUUUCAUAGUCAGAGGUGAAAUUCUUGGAUUUAUGAAAGACGAACCACUGCGAAAGCAUUUGCCAAGGAUGUUUUCAUUG